GCUGGCGGCUCCCCUGAGAUGUGGAGGGCUGACUCCUACACCCAGUAGCCAUCACUAUGGGUAAAUCAGCCAAAUUGCAACCCUCUGGGCGCAACGGAAAAGGUUUCCGACCUGCGUCCCUCCUGCCUACCCCCCACCCCCUCCCCAAGUCUCCACCUAGGUCUUUGCAUCUGCUGAUCCACCCGCAAGCUUGCAGGAAUAUAGGGGACACACCGGCUCUCUAGAACUGAAACCGAGUUGGCAAGAUCAAAGCGGAGGAGCUGAGGUGACAACCUUUGAGUUUGGCUUGUUUCCUAGAUCGCCUAUGACCUCCAACCUUCAGCCCCACAACGAGAAGAGAAGCAGAAAGUGAAACUACUGUUGCUCUAGCAGAGAACAGCAGCCGCAGAAGAACUGUGCAGAUGAAAGCCGAGCUUGCCCGCUCGUUCUUCCUGUCUCGUUAUUGCUCAUAUAUAGCUUUUAAGGAAAUAAAAGUAAUU
rnacentral:lncRNA from 1 species